rnacentral:sRNA from 1 species
GUUUGCACUUGUCGGGGAAGGGUGAGAACCUUCGAUUAAGGUUCGACUCGAGCGAAAGAGAGAGAACGUUGCCAACGGCAACGGCCCGUAGGGUGAGGAGCGAAGCGACGAAUAAUCCUUCCCCCACCACCA